UUCAUCAAUUGUGGUUUAAAGUUACAUGUAUGUCUUAGUUUCACCAAAUAUAGAAUUUUCUUUUCUAUUUCUCCUUCUCUUUGUUUUCAGGUAGCUUCAAAGAGAAAAGAGGAGCAGAGACUAUCUUUUCUGAUUACAGAAAAAUAUAUACUUAUGAAGAAUUUAAACUCCUCAAAAAUACAGAGAGAGGAAAGUUAAAACACACAAUAAAGCUAUUUAUACAAGAAUAUACCCUAUUGCUAGAGGAGAUAAGCCUUAUUGCCUGAAUAUUAUGCAAAGGAGACUCCUAAGAAACAUGCCUUAAAAAAGUGAACUUAUCCUCAAGAUCUGCCUCUGCGUUCUCUCACUGUUUCAAGACAAAUAUUAGGGGUGAAGAUUCAUGAUGGCUCAAUCAAGGAAGUGUUAUCCCUGCUAUGAGAAGAAAGCGAUUAUCUUCCAAAAGAACUUCAAGGCAUGGCUAAUGAAAGAUUUGCAAGAAUAUAGCUGGGCUCUGGAAGGUGUUGGAUCAAAGAAGCUGAAAUACAAGGCUGAGUAGUGUAAAGCUUAUUUAUCCAGGCAUACCCUCCAAUGACUAUAGAUUUAACAUCCUGGCAAGGAUACCAAAAGCUGGGCAAAAGAUGUUGGAAUGACUUCUUCCGGAAGGUUGGAAACAGCAAUGUUUCACAGAAAAUAAAACAGAGAUGGUGGAAUUGCCCUGGCAGUUUUGAGGAAAGUGCCAAUAGGCUCAGAUGUAGAAAAGCAAGGGCAUCAUCUGAGUAAGUUGUCUUUCCUGCACCUGUUUGGAAGAUCCAUUCCCACACUAUGCCUGGUUCUUGUGAUGGAUCCAGCAUGUUCAUCAGGGAAGGGGCAGUAAGAGGUGGUAUGAAUGGCAGAUGGGUCACAGAACCCCAAAGCACGGGCUACGUUAUGCUUCUUGAAGAAAUGCAAGGCUCUGGACCUGCAGGGAACAGUCCACCACCAGGCACGAAGAACCUCAGGGAUUUAUCUACCUCUUCUUCCCCUCCGCCCUCUCCCUCAUCAACCAGUCGACGAUGAGCAGAGGCUUCAAUUCUAUUCUGAAGGAUCUAUUUAUGAAUGCGUGUUAUCAUUAUAACAACAUGUUCAUAACACCAAGUGUGUUCCAGUUGUGUGUGUUCGGAGGAGUUAAAGGUUUAUGGGGGAA
rnacentral:lncRNA from 13 species